CAGUAGCCGCGGUAAAACGGAGGGUGCAAGCGUUGUCCGGAAUUAUUGGGCGUAAAGAGCUCGUAGGCGGUUUGUCGCGUCGGCUGUGAAAACCUGGGGCUCAACCCCGGGCCUGCAACCGAUACGGGCAAACUAGAGUUUGGUAGGGGAUACUGGAAUUCCCGGUGUAGCGGUGAAAUGCGCAGAUAUCAGGAGGAACACCGGUGGCGAAGGGGGCCAUCUGGGACAACACUGACGCUGAGGCACGAAAGCGUGGGGAGCAAACAGGAUUAGAUACCCGUGUAGUCCCUGUCUCUUAUAC
rnacentral:rRNA from 1 species